rnacentral:tRNA from 1 species
UGGCAGAUAGUUCAGGCGGUAGAACGCCAUGUAAGGGUUAGCAUGGAAGUCACGGGUUCAAGUCCCGUUCUGCCAGCAA